UUUUGAGUAGAGACCGUCUAUUGCUCAAAGGUGAGAUGAAAAAGAUCUCUGAGAAAUGGGAAGAAAGGACAGAAGUAUCAGGCACUAUAUGGCCCAUGGGAGGGACUUUUGAUCCAAUAAUGUAUAGGGACAUGGAGGUAGUGAUAAGGAAUUACAUAGAUAACAGAAGUGGAAAAGCGGCCUUGGCGAAGAGGGACAGGGAAAAGUUAGUACUAGCUUUGUUCCUAGAGGAAGGAGAGAGAUGUCGAACGUUACAAAGAGUGGCGGGAGAAAUAAUAGCUAAGAACAAAAAGGCUCAACCAUUGCCUCUGAAGGUUGAGCCACCGCUAUACAAACCAGUGUCAAUCUAUCCAUUGUUAAAAGGCAUGGUAGCAAAUAAAGGGGAGGUCACACUAGAUGAGGAGGAUAAGCAAUGUAACACACAGGGAAGGAGGGGCGCACCCAUACACACGGACUGUUAUGAGGGGAUUAGAAAUGCAAGAGAAGAGUGUGACGAUUCUGAAACUAGUUCUAGUGAAAGCAAGGACGAGGAUAAGAAUAGUGGUGAUGAGCACGUGGGCGAAGAUGGGAACAAUGCUACUGAACAAAAUUACAAAGAACUUUCUUCUAAAAUUAAAAGGAGAGGAAAGAACACAAAGAAGAGAACGAAGAGUCAGAGGAGGCAGAAAAAAAGGAGAGAUAGUAAUCAGGGAGAGAGUUCCCGUGUGGAUCAAGGGCCAGAGGAACCUUGUUGUAGUACAGCAUUACAAAGCCCCCUGGCACUCGAAACACAGGGGAAACCAAGGGGAUCACAUAGAGAAAGAAGAGCACCCGACACGUCAUCAGGAAAUUAUCCUAUUCUAAUCAAUGGACAGCAGGCAUUCUCUCCCCCGAUAGAACAGCCUCAGAGCCAACAGUCACCUAAUCCACCAGUUACACAUGUUCACAUCCAUAAUUAUGGGAACCCCACAAAUAUAAAUAGACAGAAUCAGAAUGAGGGCCAAGGUCAAGCAAAAACACACAGAACCACGCACACCUCAAACGCACACACCUCAUCGAGAGGAGGGUACAGCAUAAGACUGUAUCACACAGGGACUCUUCAUCUUCUUCUGAAGCAGACCUUCCACGGAGGCGAAGCUCUGGACGAACCAUCAGCGCUGAUUAGGGACUUAGACAUAUUCGAUCUCUCACGCUUUAUGACUCUGUAUAACCGUUGCCACUUUACUUAAUAAAUCCAAGGUCCUCGUGCCGACAGACUUUA
ensembl:lncRNA